rnacentral:rRNA from 1 species
CCUACGGGAGGCAGCAGUGAGGAAUCUUGGUCAAUGGACGCAAGUCUGAACCAGCCAUGCAGCGUGCAGGAAGACGGCUCUAUGAGUUGUAAACUGCUUUUGUACGAGGGUAAACGCAGAUACGCGUAUCUGUCUGAAAGUAUCGUACGAAUAAGGAUCGGCUAAAUCCGAGCCAGCAGCCGCGGUAAUACGGAGGAUUCAAGCGUUAUCCGGAUUUAUUGGGGUUAAAGGGUGCGUAGGCGGUCUGCUAAGCUAGAUGUGAAAUCCCCAGGCUCAACUUCGGAAUUGCCUCUGAUACUGGUCGGCUAGAGAGUAGUGGCGGUAGGCGGAAUUUAUGGUGUAGCGGUGAAAUGCUUAGAGAUCAUACAGAACACCGAUUGCGAAGGCAGCUUACCAAGCUACUUCUGACGUUGAGGCACGAAAGCGUGGGGAGCAAACAGGAUUAGAUACCCUUGUAGUC